rnacentral:misc_RNA from 1 species
AACACUGUUAACCUGCGGUACCUGCGGAGGGAUCAUUACUGUGAUUUACUACUACGCUGCGUGAGCGGAACGAAAACAACAACGCCUAAAAUGUGGAAUAUAGCAUAUAGUCGACAAGAGAAAUCUACGAAAAAACAAACAAAACUUUUAACAACGGAUCU